CAGAGAAUAGUUUAAUAAAAAUAUUAGUUUUGGGGACUAAUGAUAAGAGGUAACUCUUUUCUCUGA
rnacentral:tRNA from 1 species